rnacentral:rRNA from 1 species
UGGGGCGGCCUACCAUGCAAGUCGAGCGGUACCAGGGGUAAUUUAUUACCUGCUGACGAGCGGCGGACGGCUGAGUAACCCGUGGGAACAUGCCCCAAAGUGAGGAAUAACCACCAGAAAUGGUGUCAAAUGCCGCAUAUGAUCUUCGGAUUAAGGGAUUUAUCCUCUUUGGGAGUGGCCCCCGUACGAUUAGGUAGUUGGUGAGGUAAAGGCUCCCCACCCCUACGAUCAUUAAUUGCCCUGAGAGGAUGACCACCCACACUGGAACUGAUAUACGGCCCACACUCCUCCGGGAGGCAGCAGUGAGGAAUCUUCCACAAUGGGGGAAAGCCUGAUGGAGCGACGCCGCGUGCAGGAUGAAGGCCUUCGGGUUGUAAACUGCUUUUAUAAGUGAAGAAUAUGACGGUAACUUAUGAAUAACCACCGGCUAACUACGUGCCAGCAGCCGCGGUCAUACGUAGGGUGCAAGCAUUAUCCGGAGUGACUGGUCAUAAAGAGUUGCGUACGUGGUUCGUAAAGUGAAUGGUGAAAUCUGGCGGCUCAACCUCACACACUAUUAUUCAAACUCACGAACUCGACAAUGGUAGAGGUAACUGGACUGUCUAGUGUGGGAGUGAAAUCCGUAGAUAUUAUAUCGAACACCAAUGGCGUAGGCAAGUU